GAAAUGAGAAAAGAGAGGAUUUAACUCCCAUUCUGGAACUUACGGGAACUCUGCCAUAUGUACACCCACCGCCAUUCACACUUACAGCACCGCUAAUCGUCUACACACACGAGACAACUCACCGGCAACCACCGCGCGAGCUCCUUCACCACGUCUCCCUCUCUGUCUAAAUCUCUCUUCCGUUGUUCAAACACACACGCCUGCCUCGCCCUCUCUAUGCAGUGCUGCUGCUGUCCGGCAGUUUCUAGCGCCACAGUUACCGAAUUUUGACAACGUCUUGUCUAUCCUUUAUAUUUGAGGAUCACACUACUCUUUAUUGUCCAGCUGCUCAAGUUAGUCAUUAGCCCACCUUUUUGUGUUUGGAAUAUUCUGUUUGAUAUGUUAGAUGUGACAUGUAUAGAAGGUCUAAUGUAGUAUGAACAUUUCAUUUACUUCGUUAUCUAGAUUGUAAAAAUAUAUGUACAGAAUCUAGGGAAUAGGCUUAUGCUCUAGUUGUAGAUAAUAUAUAGUAGUUUUUUUUUUUCUUUUCA